rnacentral:rRNA from 1 species
GGUGACUUGGUCCCCAAGUAUCUUUUUACCCCGCUGAGUGGAGACAGGGAGCUAGAGGGAGAGGAGAAGCAGCUCUUCAGGGAUAGAGAGAGGAAAGGUAGAGGGAGAGGCCGGCGGCCGCAACUUUGUUGUUGCGGGUCUUAGGUUUAGUACUCCAGGUCGCCGACGCGCGACACUAACGUAGAAAAAACGCUGCGUCCCGACAUCGAGGCACCUGGUUAUUGUGCCGACGUAUCCUCAGCCGAUAGGCGGAAAUAUCGAGCUCCUAGACUCCUCCGAGACACCAGUAAAGUUGUACGUAAUACAUAAGGUAGAUAGAACUUCAGUAGUUCUACUGAAAGACAAGUACGAUCAACCGGACUCCUAACUAAACAUGAGAUAGCGGGCUUUACGAAAGGAGCACUUCAUAUAGAUGAUCAGCGACGACGAUUCAACUAAAAAAGCUAAGGAAAACAGAUUUGGACCACGUGUUUCCUUUGUUUAGACAUGUUCAGAUAUACAUGAAGAUGAAGCCAACAGUAAAUACGUGAACCUACGAAGCUCAUUUUUCCCAGUGAGUACACAAAUUCUUCAAUCAAGCGC